rnacentral:rRNA from 1 species
AUUGAACGCUGGCGGCAGGCCUAACACAUGCAAGUCGAGCGGAUGAAGGGAACUUGCUCCUGGAUUCAGCGGCGGACGGGUGAGUAAUGCCUAGGAAUCUGCCUGGUAGUGGGGGAUAACGUCCGGAAACGGGCGCUAAUACCGCAUACGUCCUGAGGGAGAAAGUGGGGGAUCUUCGGACCUCACGCUAUCAGAUGAGCCUAGGUCGGAUUAGCUAGUUGGUGGGGUAAAGGCCUACCAAGGCGACGAUCCGUAGCUGGUCUGAGAGGAUGAUCAGUCACACUGGAACUGAGACACGGUCCAGACUCCUACGGGAGGCAGCAGUGGGGAAUAUUGGACAAUGGGCGAAAGCCUGAUCCAGCCAUGCCGCGUGUGUGAAGAAGGUCUUCGGAUUGUAAAGCACUUUAAGUUGGGAGGAAGGGCAGUAAGUUAAUACCUUGCUGUUUUGACGUUACCAACUGAAUAAGCACCGGCUAACUUCGUG